AGAAUAAAAUAAUAAAUAUAUAUUAAGUAUACCAAUUCACGAGGUGUGAUCAAAAAGUAAGGUGAAUUUUCGUUUUUCGCGGGCUACGUACGUUCGAUCUUCGAUUUUUUUUAAUUUUAUGUUGGUACACUUAUCCCGGAAAUUUAUUUACAGCUUCAGCUAUAUAGCUUUAUUUGUUUGUUUGUGAGAGGCAUAAAAAUUAGAAGUGUUUUUCGGCGAUUUCCUGCUGUCGAAAAACAUGAGUUAAAGAGUUUGCAUCAAAUUUUGUGUGAAAAAUGGAAUCAAGUGCUCCAAAACACUUAAAAUCUUGACAGUGGCUUACGUGCAUUAGGAGUUCUUACCACAAGGUCGCACAGUUAAUAAGGAGUAUUACCUUGAGGUUAUGCGCCGUUUGCAUGAAUCAAUACGAAAAAAACGUCUGGAAUUGUGAAAAAACCAGUCAUGGUUAUUGCAUCACGAUAAUACACCUGCUCAUUUAUCGUUGCUUGUGAGAGAAUUUUUCGCCAAAAACAAAACUCAAGAAACCUAUGAAAGGACGGCGUUUUCAACGAUUGAGGAAAUAAAGACCGCAUCGCUGGAUGAGCUCAAGGCAAUACCAAAAAGUGCUUAUCAGAAGUGCUUUGACGAUUGGAAAAAACCUUGGCACAAGUGUAUUGUAUCUGAGGGGGAUUACUUUGAAGAGGACAA